rnacentral:misc_RNA from 1 species
UUUCCGUAGGUGAACCUGCGGAAGGAUCAUUAUCGAGCGGGGGGUCCUCGUGGCCCUACACCCGUUUCUCUUGUUUACAAGCCACUUUGUUUCUUCGGCGGUCCCCGCCUUGAGCCCUCUUCACUGAGGUGCCUUGGUGCCCGUCGGAGGCCAUUUUAAACCUUUUUAUUGAAACUUGACGUCUGAGUCUAUAUGAAAAUAAGCAAAAACUUUCAACAACGGAUCUCUUGGUUCUGGCAUCGAUGAAGAACGCAGC